rnacentral:rRNA from 1 species
AGUAGUACUAUAAUAAAAAACUCAUGCACUAUGGCGGUUUCAAUAAAUUAGAGAAACUCGCUUAUUAAUCGACAACACCCGAUAAUUUUAACUUAAUUUAAAAAUCUAUAUACCGCCGUUUCAGAUUUAAUUAUAAAAUAUAAACCUAAACAUUACACUCCAGUCAAAAAUCAGGUCAAGGUGUAGUAAACAAAUAAGUUUAAGUAAGUUACAAUAAAAAAAAUUUAAGAAUCAAGCAUAAAUCAUACUAAGUGAAAAAGAAUUUAUAUGUACAUAUUAAUUAAAAUCUAAUAUAGAAGCCAUAAAUUGAAACGC